rnacentral:rRNA from 2 species
AUGGACGAAAGUCUGAUGGAGCAACGCCGCGUGAGUGAAGAAGGGUUUCGGCUCGUAAAACUCUGUUGUUAAAGAAGAACAUAUCUGAGAGUAACUGUUCAGGUAUUGACGGUAUUUAACCAGAAAGCCACGGCUAACUACGUGCCAGCAGCCGCGGUAAUACGUAGGUGGCAAGCGUUGUCCGGAUUUAUUGGGCGUAAAGCGAGCGCAGGCGGUUUUUUAAGUCUGAUGUGAAAGCCUUCGGCUCAACCGAAGAAGUGCAUCGGAAACUGGGGAACUUGAGUGCAGAAGAGGACAGUGGAACUCCAUGUGUAGCGGUGAAAUGCGUAGAUAUAUGGAAGAACACCAGUGGCGAAGGCGGCUGUCUGGUCUGUAACUGACGCUGAGGCUCGAAAGUAUGGGUAGCAAACAGGAUUAGAUACCCUGGUAGUCCAUACCGUAAACGAUGAAUGCUAAGUGUUGGAAGGUUUCCGCCCUUCAGUGCUGCAGCUAACGCAUUAAGCAUUCCGCCUGGGGAGUACGGCCGCAAGGCUGAAACUCAAAGGAAUUGACGGGGGCCCGCACAAGCGGUGGAGCAUGU